GCCCGACUGAGAUUCGAAAAUACUUUAUCUUUCUUUUUUGUUAUUCUAAAAGUCGUUAGUAAUUUAACUAGCUAACUAAAUAUAUUUCCAUGUGUGUGUGUGUGUGUGUGUGCAUGGAAAAGACAACUGCUGGCGACCUCCGGCUUGAGCCGGCGCCAAUGCCCCGUCUGUCGAUUAACCAGCAAUCAGUGUGUACGUGAGGCGCCUAGGUGCACUGGGAAGAUCAACAGCUGAUCUGAGCCGGGAGCAGCAAGCGACACGAGUUACGUGUUCCAGCUAACAAGCUCAAUCUCGCCGGCCGGCAGACUGAUCUGGCAACCAUGUGCCGCUUUACCAGAACAAACAAAAACAAAAACAACAGAAAGCGUAAACUGAAAAGAUGGAAGGAGCCUUGACCAAAGCAGAACAGAUAACAGUUACAUCCAUCGUCUAUCCUCGUCCAAAGCUGUCGAGAACGCAGAUCAAAUGCUAAUGGCUAAUGCCUAAUAGCGGCAGUUAUAGUGGAUGUCAAAUGAAGUUUUCCGUUCUGUUAACAUGGGCAAAUACAACUGUCACGUUCCGUCGCCCAAGCAGAUUGAUCUAGCUAAUUCUCACACCUCAGAGAUAGUUCGCGAAAAGCGAAAUUACUCGCAAUUAGCAUACAGGUCGUGUUUUCUGCAGAUUCAUCUAAAAUCGCUCAGAAAUAUGUGCUGCACAUUCAUUUCAGAGACUCGAAGCUGUCGAAGCUGCAGCUGCUGCAGAAAAUCUCAUUCAUGCCAUGCCAAUAUUGUGAUAUCCAAUUAUCUUUCAUGAUAAGUAAUAUGAUCUAGAUAUGCUCCCCAAAGUGUACUCAUUUCGCCCGCAUAGUCGCAUGAGUAAAUUAUUAUCAAAACAAAACAAAAUAUCACAGUCAUAGUUCAUAUUUCCAUAAAAUUAUUAACUAAACAGGCAAUUGUUUUAUUGUCGGGCUAUAAAACUCAAAGAACAAAAAGAAAAGACAUAUUCAUCUGCUGUUUCUGCGCAUGUUGGCUUUAGUUGGAUCGUCAAACAUUGUAUAUAAAACCAAAAAUAAAAAAAAAAAAAAAAGAGAAAACAAUUUGACAACGGAAGCACCUGUCUCUAAAGUACCCAAAGGAAAAAUUGCGCAGACUUUUAUCGGUCAAUCUCAACAUAAGCACACAUACAUUAAUCUCACUGUACAUACAUAAAUAGAACGGUUCUUGUACAUAGGCCGUGUGUCUAACGUCACGAACAGUUAGUGAGUCAGUGGA